rnacentral:rRNA from 1 species
GUGCCAGCCGCCGCGGUAAUACGGAGGGUGCAAGCAUUAAUCGGAUUUAUUGGGCGUAAAGGGCGCGUAGGCGGCUUUGUAAGUCAGAUGUGAAAUACCGGGGCUUAAUCCCGGUGCUGCAUUUGAAACUACAAAACUUGAGGAUAGACGGAGAAAACGGAAUUCCACAUGUAGCGGUGGAAUGCGUGGAUAUGUGGAAGAACACCUGUGGCGAAAGCGGUUUUCUAGUUUAUAUCUGACGCUGAGGCGCGAGAGCAAGGGGAGCAAACAGGAUUAGAUACCCUGGUAGUCCUUGCCGUAAACGAUGUAUACUUGAUGUAGUUGGUCUCAACCCCGACUGUGUCGUAGCUAACGUGAUAAGUAUACCGCCUGAGGAGUACGCUCGCAAGGGUGAA